GCCCGGUUAGCUCAGUCGGUAGAGCAUUCGACUUUUAUAUAGUUCCACACGGGAUAUCCCACCUGUGUCAUCGAAUUGUCGGGGGUUCGAGCCCCCCAUUGGGCG